AUGGGGACUAGCCCGGGUGGUUCGGCGUCACCUGUUACCCGAGACCGUCGGUAUGCGGGGGGCGAAGUUUGAGGAAGGCUGCAACGGAUCGCCGGAUACCAUGAUGUCCUGACGUUGAAACCUCGUCCCAUGAGGUCGGUGUCCAGGGAUCGAAGCCCCGGAGGGGGUGGAGACCUGUUAUCGCGGGGAACGGCCCAGGCCCGGAAGGGAGCAGGCUUACCGUGAACAUUCGGCGCCCAUGGGGUCGCGGGGCGGAGGAUGGGUGCCAUGGGUAUGGUGGGAACGUACAAUCGACCGAGGACGUGUCCCCAU
rfam:Methanolinea sp. SDB scaffold-277, whole genome shotgun sequence.